GGCUGACCGUGUCCUCGGCUCUCGCAGUCGGUUCACGGUCUGGUCAUCCGUAUGGGAAGCUAGUUCGACCUUCACUGGUCGGCUGGUGGACCAUACACUUUACUUUGAAAAAAUUAGAGUGUUUCAGGCAGGCAUUUGCUUGGAUACUUCAGCAUGGAAUAAUGGAAUAGGACUUUGGUCUAUUUGUUGGUUUCUCUGAGGCCAAAGUA
rnacentral:rRNA from 1 species